rnacentral:tRNA from 1 species
GCCUGGGUGGCUCAGUGGUUGAGCAUCUGCCUUCAGCUCAGGUCCUAUCCCGGGGUAUUGGGAUCGAGUCCUGAAUCAGGCU